ACGGGAGGCAGCAGUGGGGAAUAUUGCACAAUGGGGGAAACCCUGAUGCAGCAGCGCCGCGUGAGUGAAGAAGUAUUUCGGUAUGUAAAGCUCUAUCAGCAGGGAAGAUAAUGACGGUACCUGACUAAGAAGCUCCGGCUAAAUACAUGCCAGCAGCCGCGGUAAUACGUAUGGAGCAAGCGUUAUCCGGAUUUACUGGGUGUAAAGGGUGUGUAGGCGGCAUGGCAAGUCAGAAGUGAAAGACCGGGGCUCAACCCCGGGGCUGCUUUUGAAACUGUCGUGCUUGAGUGCAGGAGGGGCAAGCGGAAUUCCUAGUGUAGCGGUGAAAUGCGUAGAUAUUAGGAAGAACACCGGUGGCGAAGGCGGCUUGCUGGACUGGGACUGACGCUGAGGCACGAAAGCGUGGGGAGCAAACAGGAUUAGAUACCCUGGUA
rnacentral:rRNA from 1 species